rnacentral:miRNA from 1 species
UUAGUGGUACACAACUUUGUAACC